GGGCGAUUAGCUCAGCUGGCAGAGCAUCAGUCUUACAAACUGAGGGUCGUAGGUUCGAAUCCUGCAUCGCCCA
rnacentral:tRNA from 1 species